rnacentral:rRNA from 1 species
UGAACGCUGGCGGCAGGCCUAACACAUGCAAGUCGAGCGGUARCACAGAGAGCUUGCUCUCGGGUGACGAGCGGCGGACGGGUGAGUAAUGUCUGGGAAACUGCCUAUGGAGGGGGAUAACUACUGGAAACGGUAGCUAAUACCGCAUAACGUCGCAAGACCAAAGUGGGGGACCUUCGGGCCUCAUGCCAUCAGAUGUGCCCAGAUGGGAUUAGCUAGUAGGUGGGGUAAUGGCUCACCUAGGCGACGAUCCCUAGCUGGUCUGAGAGGAUGACCAGCCACACUGGAACUGAGACACGGUCCAGACUCCUACGGGAGGCAGCAGUGGGGAAUAUUGCACAAUGGGCGCAAGCCUGAUGCAGCCAUGCCGCGUGUAUGAAGAAGGCCUUCGGGUUGUAAAGUACUUUCAGCGAGGAGGAAGGCGUUAAGGUUAAUAACCUUGGCGAUUGACGUUACUCGCAGAAGAAGCACCGGCUAACUCCGUGCCAGCAGCCGCGGUAAUACGGAGGGUGCAAGCGUUAAUCGGAAUUACUGGGCGUAAAGCGCACGCAGGCGGUCUGUCAAGUCGGAUGUGAAAUCCCCGGGCUCAACCUGGGAACUGCAUUCGAAACUGGCAGGCUAGAGUCUUGUAGAGGGGGGUAGAAUUCCAGGUGUAGCGGUGAAAUGCGUAGAGAUCUGGAGGAAUACCGGUGGCGAAGGCGGCCCCCUGGACAAAGACUGACGCUCAGGUGCGAAAGCGUGGGGAGCAAACAGGAUUAAUACCCUGGUAGUCCACGCCGUAAACGAUGUCGACUUGGAGGUUGUGCCCUUGAGGCGUGGCUUCCGGAGCUAACGCGUUAAGUCGACCGCCUGGGGAGUACGGCCGCAAGGUUAAAACUCAAAUGAAUUGACGGGGGCCCGCACAAGCGGUGGAGCAUGUGGUUUAAUUCGAUGCAACGCGAAGAACCUUACCUACUCUUGACAUCCAGAGAACUUAGCAGAGAUGCUUUGGUGCCUUCGGGAACUCUGAGACAGGUGCUGCAUGGCUGUCGUCAGCUCGUGUUGUGAAAUGUUGGGUUAAGUCCCGCAACGAGCGCAACCCUUAUCCUUUGUUGCCAGCGRUYCGGCCGGGAACUCAAAGGAGACUGCCAGUGAUAAACUGGAGGAAGGUGGGGAUGACGUCAAGUCAUCAUGGCCCUUACGAGUAGGGCUACACACGUGCUACAAUGGCAUAUACAAAGAGAAGCGACCUCGCGAGAGCAAGCGGACCUCAUAAAGUAUGUCGUAGUCCGGAUUGGAGUCUGCAACUCGACUCCAUGAAGUCGGAAUCGCUAGUAAUCGUAGAUCAGAAUGCUACGGUGAAUACGUUCCCGGGCCUUGUACACACCGCCCGUCACACCAUGGGAGUGGGUUGCAAAAGAAGUAGGUAGCUUAACCUUCGGGAGGGCGCUUACCACUUUGUGAUUCAUGACUGGGGUGAAGUCGUAAC